UACGAAGGGGGCUAGCGCUGCUCGGAAUCACUGGGCGUAAAGGGUGCGUAGGCGGGUCUUUAAGUCAGGGGUGAAAUCCUGGAGCUCAACUCCAGAACUGCCUUUGAUACUGAAGAUCUUGAGUUCGGGAGGGGUGAGUGGAACUGCGAGUGUAGAGGUGAAAUUCGUAGAUAUUCGCAAGAACACCAGUGGCGAAGGCGGCUCACUGGCCCGAUACUGACGCUGAGGCACGAAAGCGUGGGGAGCAAACAGG
rnacentral:rRNA from 1 species